rnacentral:lncRNA from 1 species
CCAUGGUGCGUUCAACAUUUUCAAUUUCCACCCUUUAUGUUGGGCAAUUCAUGCAGUGAUCCAAAACUUACGAAUUUAAAUUUAGAAUUGGAGGGAGUAAUUUUUUUUUUGUUAAUAUGAGAUAAUUAGUUUUACUCUUCUAAGCUACACACAAAAUGCAAGGAGUAUUCCGGAUGCUCUUAAUUUGAAAGUUCGAGCUGGUAGAACCCUUUUGAAAUCGAGGUAGACUUUAGUGGAUAGGUUUGCGACUUUGUUCACCCGCCGCUGAAAUCGAGAUAGGCCACCACCCUCCGAAGGCUCACCACUCACGACCUCCGCACAAGUGAAAGUAGUGCGAAACCGGUACUCCUCAACCUGCAUGAUUGGAGCGUCAUCGCCACACCACCAGCAGUGCAAUGGCCA